rnacentral:lncRNA from 1 species
GUAUAUCCUAACUUGCUUAGUGUUCGUUUGGUUUGGUUGGACAUAAAAUCGUAAAAAAUAAUUGUUUAUUAAAAAUUUUUAAAUUUUUUUUGCGUUUUGUAGUGUUUGGUUAAUUUACAGGAAAAAAAAAUUAGUUUCCAUCAAUAUUUGUUUGGUUGGAAGAAAAAAAUUUGUAUUUGUUUGGUUUGGUAAAAGAAAUGAAUGAUAAAAGUUUUACACAGCUUGAAUUUUUAUUUUCUGCCCAAAAAAAAUGAAAAAUAAAUUUUUUUUUUCAAAUCCGAUAAAAAAUAUUUUUACGGUUGAGUCAAAAAAAAAAGCGGAAAGGUAAUUUUCAUACUGAAAAUAAUUUUUACUACCCAUUUUUUUAAAAAAAAAAGCUUUACAACUAAACUAAAUAAUUAUUCUAAUUUUUAAAUCAAUUUAAAAUACUAUC